rnacentral:lncRNA from 1 species
CUUUAGGUGAUUAGUUUCCCAGAACCAAAAUGAUCCACCCUUACUUGAGGAUCUCUGUGGUGAUGGGCAGUAGUAUCAUGUCAUGACAGGGUUCUGCUACUAGCAUGUGAAGGUGCAAGGAAGCUAGCAAUAAGCUAGAAGAGAAAAGGUGAUGUGUCUGUUUUGAAAAUUUUUGGUACCAGUAAUGAUGCUACCAGGAAUGGUGUAUCAUGUCAUUGAGAGCUUCAGUCAAAAUAAUUGGAUGCUGAACCUAUGCAAUAACAAAGCCUUAAGCAGAGAACCAUCCAGAGAGAACUGGAGACUGUGAACGCAGAAGCACUUCCAGCUGUUGACGUCAGGCAAAACUGAAGAGCAGGUCUCACAUGUGCACAUACACAAAGAGCCCUGCUUUGGAGAGCCGCCAUCGCUAAUGGAAAGACAUUAUGUGGCUGAAGAUCCACAUUUUCCACACAGGAGAGCAGAAUGCUGGCAAGUUAAAUGGCCAAUGGACAAGCAGUUUCCAGCCCAGCAAAAGCUCAGCUUUAAUAUGAGCAGGCAGGCUCCAGGAGGAGUAAAGGCCCAGGAUAUCAGGCCUAAAUCCAUCUUGUGCCAGGAAAUCAAAAGAACCACAGCUUCACACCAUGAAAAUUUACCCUUGGCCCUAAAAACAGUUUUGAGAUGGAGUAGUUUUGCUUCCUUGUUUCUUUCAUCUUUUUCUCAGUUAGUGACUGUUUCACCA